UGGGGAAUAUUGCACAAUGGGCGCAAGCCUGAUGCAGCCAUGCCGCGUGUAUGAAGAAGGCCUUCGGGUUGUAAAGUACUUUCAGCGGGGAGGAAGGCGAUAAGGUUAAUAACCUUGUCGAUUGACGUUACCCGCAGAAGAAGCACCGGCUAACUCCGUGCCAGCAGCCGCGGUAAUACGGAGGGUGCAAGCGUUAAUCGGAAUUACUGGGCGUAAAGCGCACGCAGGCGGUCUGUCAAGUCGGAUGUGAAAUCCCAGGGCUCAACCUGGGAACUGCAUUCGAAACUGGCAGGCUAGAGUCUUGUAGAGGGGGGUAGAAUUCCAGGCGUAGCGGUGAAAUGCGUAGAGAUCUGGAGGAAUACCGGUGGCGAAGGCGGCCCCCUGGACAAAGACUGACGCUCAGGUGCGAAAGCGUGGGGAGCAAACA
rnacentral:rRNA from 1 species